GUUAAGAAACAACAUUUUUAUUUGGGUUUUAAAGGGUGAACAUCAAACCGAUGCUCUCUUCAUUGAUUUUUUGAAUUCCUUGAUGCAUAAGAAAUUUCAUUUCUUAUAUGGGUUUUUUCAAGGGUGGAACUGAGAUGGGUUUCCCUUCUUUUUUUUUUCAUUUGAUAUGAGUUGAGAAGACAAGUGUGCCAUAGGAGAGAAUAAUCAUGGAAGAGGAGACUUCAAUCAAAAAGAGAGGAGGAUUUGCCGAUGACUGUGACUUGGUUGCUUCCAUGUUUUCUUGGUCUCUCGAGGACAUUUACAAUGAAAAUCUUUUCGAGGUUCUAUUUAUCCUCCUUUUGCUUUGUUUCUGUAUUAAAAUCUUAGCACAGCUUUUCGGUUUAUGUCUUUGACCGGU
rnacentral:misc_RNA from 1 species